AUGAAAAUCAGUGGUUGGAAGGAAAAGCUGCUAUCAGCAGGAGGAAAGGAAAUCCUUCUCAAAUCGGUUGUACAAGCUAUCCCAACUUAUGCAAUGUCUGUCUUUAAAAUUACUAAAAACAAUUGCAAAGGAAUCAUUGACGCGAUGUCGCAUUUUUGGUGGGGUGACGAAGACAAUCAUAAGAGAAUGCAUUGGAUGGCAUGGUGGAAGGUGUGUGUACCAAAAGACCAAGGAGGAAUGGGUUUUCGAGACAUACAUUGUUUCAAUUUGGCCUUGUUAGCCAAACAAGCGUGGCGCCUGCUUGAUAAUCCCGAUUCUCUAUGUGCCACCAUUUUGAGAGCUAAAUAUUUUCCGGAUGGAGAUUAA
rnacentral:rRNA from 1 species